rnacentral:rRNA from 1 species
GUGCCAGCCGCCGCGGUAAUUCCAGCUCCGCAAGUGUAUUCCUAUACUGUUGCGGUUAAAAAGCUCGUAGUUGGAUCUAUGUGCUUAGCGCCUGGUGCAGUUCUGCUGUUACUAGGCGCGGCACAAAAUCGCCAAUCGGUUGCCAUUGUUGCCUUAACUGGUGAUGGUGGUUAACUGUUGGCAAGUUUACUUUGAACAAAUCAGAGUGCUCAAUACGGGCGUUUCGCUUGUAUGGUCGUGCAUGGAAUAAUAGAAUAGGACCUUGGUUCUAUUUUGUUGGUUUUCGGAAUUGAGGUAAUGAUUAAGAGGGACAGACGGGGGCAUUCGUACUCCAGCGUGAGAGGUGAAAUUCUUGGAUCGUUGGAAGACGAACUACUGCGAAAGCAUUUGCCAAGAAUGUUUUCAUUAAUCAAGAACGAAAGUAAUGGGUUCGAAGGCGAUCAGAUACCGCCCUAGUCAUUACCGUAAACGAUUGUAACUGGGAGCUAGCAGGCGUUUUCUAUGACUCUGCUAGAACCCACCCGGAAACGAUAAGUUUUCGAUAUCCGGGGGAAGUAUACUUGCAAAUGCGAAACUUAAAGGAAUUGACGG